ACGAACGCUGGCGGCACGCUUAACACAUGCAAGUCGAACGAGAGAAGAGAAGCUUGCUUUUCUGAUCUAGUGGCGGACGGGUGAGUAACACGUGAGCAAUCUGCCUUUCAGAGGGGGAUACCGAUUGGAAACGAUCGUUAAUACCGCAUAACAUAAUUGAACCGCAUGAUUUGAUUAUCAAAGAUUUAUCGCUGAAAGAUGAGCUCGCGUCUGAUUAGCUAGUUGGUAAGGUAACGGCUUACCAAGGCGACGAUCAGUAGCCGGACUGAGAGGUUGAUCGGCCACAUUGGGACUGAGACACGGCCCAGACUCCUACGGGAGGCAGCAGUGGGGAAUAUUGCACAAUGGAGGAAACUCUGAUGCAGCGAUGCCGCGUGAGGGAAGAAGGUUUUAGGAUUGUAAACCUCUGUCUUCAGGGACGAAAAAAGACGGUACCUGAGGAGGAAGCUCCGGCUAACUACGUGCCAGCAGCCGCGGUAAUACGUAGGGAGCGAGCGUUGUCCGGAAUUACUGGGUGUAAAGGGAGCGUAGGCGGGAUCGCAAGUCAGAUGUGAAAACUAUGGGCUUAACCCAUAAACUGCAUUUGAAACUGUGGUUCUUGAGUGAAGUAGAGGUAAGCGGAAUUCCUAGUGUAGCGGUGAAAUGCGUAGAUAUUAGGAGGAACAUCAGUGGCGAAGGCGGCUUACUGGGCUUUAACUGACGCUGAGGCUCGAAAGCGUGGGGAGCAAACAGGAUUAGAUACCCUGGUAGUCCACGCCGUAAACGAUGAUUACUAGGUGUGGGGGGACUGACCCCUUCCGUGCCGCAGCAAACGCAAUAAGUAAUCCACCUGGGGAGUACGACCGCAAGGUUGAAACUCAAAGGAAUUGACGGGGGCCCGCACAAGCAGUGGAGUAUGUGGAUUAAUUCGAAGCAACGCGAAGAACCUUACCAGGUCUUGACAUCGUAUGCAUAGCUCAGAGAUGAGUGAAAUCUCUUCGGAGACAUAUAGACAGGUGGUGCAUGGUUGUCGUCAGCUCGUGUCGUGAGAUGUUGGGUUAAGUCCCGCAACGAGCGCAACCCUUACUGUUAGUUGCUACGCAAGAGCACUCUAGCAGGACUGCCGUUGACAAAACGGAGGAAGGUGGGGAUGACGUCAAAUCAUCAUGCCCCUUAUGACCUGGGCCUCACACGUACUACAAUGGCUGUCAACAGAGGGAAGCAAAGCCGCGAGGUGGAGCGAACCCCUAAAAGCAGUCUUAGUUCGGAUUGUAGGCUGCAACCCGCCUACAUGAAGUCGGAAUUGCUAGUAAUCGCAGAUCAGCAUGCUGCGGUGAAUACGUUCCCGGGCCUUGUACACACCGCCCGUCACGCCAUGGGAGUCGGUAACACCCGAAGCCUGUAGUCUAACCGCAAGGAGGACGCAGUCGAAGGUGGGAUUGAUGACUGGGGUG
rnacentral:rRNA from 1 species